AACUCAUGCCAAGUGCCAAAUCGAAGUCAGGUGCUGUGGGAAGUGGGAGGAGGGAGGAGAGAGCUGACUGGGCUCCCAGGUGGUCAAGGAGAUUCCUAGGGUAGGUGGAAUCCCAGUAGGGUUGGAAGAUUUCAGAGAGAAAUGGGAAAGGCACUAGAGCUGGGCCCUAAUCAUACCCAUUUAGGGGCCCCCAUGCUUAGCAGAGAGCCUGCCUCUAGCAGGGGAUGAUAUGUGCUUGCGGAGUGAAUAAAUGUUGGAUCCAAUGAAAAUAGAGGACACAUGGCUGAGAGGCAAGGUGUGGCUGAGGGACUGUGGAGUAUGGGGGUGGCUGGCCACUGAGCCUCUAACAGCCCACCAAGUGCAGUUCAGUUGACUGUGACCCCACCAACCAGACUGACAUUCUUCAGUUUUCAGCUUUCCAUUUUUUCCAGGACCAAACACAUCCUGGGAAACAUCUGCUGGAGCAGUGAGUAGACGGUGUAAGGGAGCAGCCGGAGGAAACGUGGGAGAAAUCUGCUAGGAGCAGACGGAGGAAGCCUUGAGUUCCAGGCCAAAAAGUUUAGCCUUUUCCUCUGGGCAAGUCGUGGCCAUUGGGAUCUCUGAACAUUCAAAUAGCAGGAGUCUCUAGUUUUCCUACAACGAACAUGUACUACCUUUGUAAUAAGCAAGAAACCCAAUAAAAUUUAUUGGAUAAAAGAAUAAACAGCUGGAAAUCAUUCUCUCCUGAGGAAUUAGCAUCUUGUCUGACGACAAGGGCUACAGUGGCUUUGCUGGAACCUUCCAUCUAUCUCUCAGGAUCUGCUCUCAGCCAACGGGGAGACGAUGCAGGUGAUCAGGGGAGGAGAGGGAGCAUGAGGCCAGGAUGUGCAUUCACUGGGCUCCCUCUUUGUGAGGUCACGUGGAGAGAUGGCCACUUUCAAGGUGUCUGAGUCUAUACACCCUCCUGUUUGCUGGGAGCUGGUGACCUUCCCGUCCAGGAGAGGAGAGAGAGAAAGCGAGGUUCCCCAGCUCUCCCAGUGCUGUCUCUGUACUCCACUGACAGCUUUGCCACUAGUCCUUUUUUAAAAAAACUCUCCUCACAUCACCAGAAUUGAGUACGGCAUCUGUUUCCGGUUCAGACUCUGACCGAUACACUUAUCCUAUCUGCUUUUUCUUCUUCUCCUCGGUCCUAAUCCCUAAAAUAAAAUGACUCUCCCGUUGACUUGUCCAAGUUGACUUUCUCUCCGGACAUCUGGUCUUGCCCACAAGACAUCUUCAUUUGGACAACCGGGAAACUCAUAACACCCAUGCCCAUAACAGGACUUUGACUUUGAUUCCCAAACCGAAUUCUCUCUUCUUUUCCCUUUUACCCCCCCCCCACCCACCCACUCCAAACCUCGAAUCAUCGUUAUCUGCACCUCUUUAAUUUGUCAUAUCCUUUCAGUGCCCAAAGCCUGUGAAGUCUACCUCAGCAAUGUCUUUUUCAAACAGCCCCAUUCAUGCCAUUUCUCCAGUUCCCUCCCUCAUCCAGGUCUCCUGUGGGCUCCCCUUGCCUCCAGUCUCUCCACACCUCCUCUCUUGAGUCUGUGUUAUGUGUGACUUCUGGCAAAGGGUCCUUGAAACACAGUUCUGGUCCUCCCUACUCCACUCAAAAACCCAAGGCCAACUCAGCCAAACCUACGCACCUCAGUUUAUCUCUUCCAUAAAGACCUUCAAACACACGGAAACACUGGGUCUUUACAUCCCCAAGGCUUUGCCCAUGCUGGGUCUUCUGCUGGAUCACCAUUCCUCCGCCUUUCCAAGUGUCCUCAGAAGCUAUUCAACAAAGCUUAUGCACACAAUCCCAACCCUGGUUUUCUUUCCCAUGAGUAACCCAUCCCAAAGUCCUAAUUUAGUUGCACUUCUUUCUAGGAAGUGGUUAUUUUCCACUUGGUAUUUGGGUGAGUGUCUUGGUUAAGAUGGUUGGUGAGGCUGGUGACACUUAUUAUUUGUCUCUGGAUCCCAUGGGCUCAGCCAAAGGUCUUGGUCUAAGUAGGUGCAAAGUCUCUGUGGUUACUGAACGAAUGGACCUUCUUGCUCUACAAUGUAAAGCCAUCGUCUGAGUGAGGAAGGAGGGAGCUUACCCAAGAGGGGACUACAGAGUCAGCCUCUGGUGCCGACCUCUGCAAACCACAGCCAGUCUCCAGGAGGGUGCAGAGACCUGAGGAGGGGCUGAGGGUGCCACAGCAGAUGAGGUGCUGUGGGCUGUGACUUCAUCAGACACAGGGACAGUGACCAGAGAGGUGGAGGAACUCAGUCCAUUGGAGAAAACAAGUAAAUGGCCAAAAUCCCCUCCCUGCCCAAUGCCAUCCACCUGCAUGACCACCCCUCAACUUGGGUGCUUAGAUGCAACUUAGAUGCAACAUUGGAAGAAAGGAAACAGAGCUCUGGAUUUGAAUGUAAUUCUGAAAUAACUGAAUUUACCUGAAAAUGCCAAAGCUGAGUUUUGUGCUUCAAGCAGAAACAGGGCUCCAAGUUAGAAUUGCACGGAGUUACAGAAGUCAGCAUCUUUCAUAUCUGAGUUGUGGGAUCUAUUGUAUAUAAAGCCGUGUGCUUAUAAUGUGCCUGGUGCUCAAUAUUCGUAACCUCACUUAACGAGGGAGACCAUGCAAUUUAUUGUUUUAACUGAGACGAUUCUGGGACUGAAGGGGGUGCUGUUACUAUCGUGUUGGGAUGCAGGCUUGAGAGGACCACAGCUCAUGGCUAUCCUACAGCUAAGCCUUUCAACAUACAUAUGACGAAGUAACACUUGUUGCCCAUUUACAGAUGGAGGAAACAAUGCCUAAGAUGAUUGAGCCAUGAGUCCAGAACAGACGAGGAGCCACAACCCAAGCCCAGCUGAUCAUUUGCCAAACCCCACAGGCUUGCAUUUUGCACAGGACCUUAUGCUGGCUCUGCCCAGUUGUCCUAUCGCCACCUUCCCCACCCGCUCUCUUCUCUCUUCUCUGCCAACGAAAAUAUAAUGAGGCCAUAUAUGUAAUUUUACAUUUUCUAGUAGCCACAUUAAAAAGCAAGUGAAAACAGGUGAAA